GGGAGGGGAUCCCAGUCAGCGCCCUUGCAGGUCUCAACCCAGAAGAACAGAGGAAAUCCUGAAACACGAGAUCCUGGGCAUGACCCCGACAACAGCCCCCUCUCAUCUCCAGUGGAGUGGGGCAGACAUUUCUAUUGGACCCCGGCGGCUAGCCCAGUGCCAGAAUGUCACAGAUGGUGAAGUACCUGGGAAACAAACAGAUGCACAAGGACGAGAUCCACACCCACAUGCGUCUCAGCAAGCCUGGUGUUAUGCUGCCCUGGCACGAUUGCCACGUUCCACGUGCAGGAGGGGCCUGCCUCGCUGCCAGGACCAACGCCAGUGGCUUCUUGAUGGGGACAGCUCACAUCACACAGGCCUCUGCUAGGACUGUUGAGCUCUGAAGCGAGGCCAACUGAGUAGCAUGCACUCGAGGUGUACGUACGUGCCUACACGGGUACGUAUACAAAACCUCUAUGAAUCUGAUUUUUUUUUAAGUCUAUUUUGAGAGUGGGGGAGAGGCAGAGAGAGAGGGAGAGAAUCUCGAGCAGACUCUGCACUGUCAGCACCGAUGCUGACGUGGGGUUUGAUCUCACAAGCCACGAGACUAUAACCUGAGCCAAAACCAAGCUUUGGUUGCUUAACUGACGGAACCACCAGGCACCCCAUAAACCUGAAUUGUUGAGAAAAAUACAGAAAACCUCUAUGUCUCUGAGAGGCCCAGAGCUCACCAAGCUUUGCUGUGCUGCUGUCUCGGGAAAAUCUUUCUCUUCCUGGGCCGUUUUUCAAUCUGUGUGAGGAUGCGGUUAAAUUAGAUGCUCUGAGAUAUAGUCUAAUAAAUGUGUCACCAUAAAUCA